rnacentral:rRNA from 1 species
CCCUUAGAUGUCCUGGGCCGCACGCGCGCUACAAUGACUUGCUCAGAAAGUUUUUCCUGGCUCGGAAGGGUUCAGGGUAAUCUUUGUAAUACAAGUCGUGUUAGGGAUCGAUCUUUGCAAUUAUAGAUCUUGAACGAGGAAUGCCUAGUAAGUGCAGUUCAUCAGGCUGUACUGAUUACGUCCUUGCCCUUUGUACACACCGCCCGUCGCACCUACCGAUUGAAUGAUCCGGUGAAAUCUCGGGAUUGUGGCCAGUUCACUUUAUUGGGAGUUGGCUGUGAGAACUUGCUUAAACCUUAUCAUUUAGAGGAAGGUGAGGUCGUAACA